rnacentral:rRNA from 1 species
UACGUAGGGGGCAAGCGUUGCCCGGAUUUAUUGGGCGUAAAGAGCGUGUAGGCGGUCCGGUAAGUCCGCUGUGAAAGUCGGGGGCUCAACCCUCGAAUGCCGGUGGAUACUGUCGGGCUAGAGUGCGGAAGAGGCGAGUGGAACUCCUGGUGUAGCGGUGAAAUGCGCAGAUAUCAGGAGGAACACCGAUUGCGAAGGCAGCUCGCUGGGACGGUACUGACGCUGAGACGCGAAAGCGUGGGGAGCGAACAGG